rnacentral:rRNA from 1 species
GAUCAGUGGCUCAGGACGAACGCUGGCGGCGUGCCUAACACAUGCAAGUCGAGCGAAUGAAGUUCCUUCGGGAACGGAUUUAGCGGCGGACGGGUGAGUAACACGUGGGCAACCUGCCUCAUAGAGGGGAAUAGCCUUCCGAAAGGGAGAUUUAAUACCGCAUAAGAUUGUAGUACCGCAUGGUACAGCAAUUAAAGGAGUAAUCCGCUAUGAGAUGGGCCCGCGGCGCAUUAGCUAGUUGGUGAGGUAACGGCUCACCAAGGCGACGAUGCGUAGCCGACCUGAGAGGGUGAUCGGCCACAUUGGGACUGAGACACGGCCCAGACUCCUACGGGAGGCAGCAGGUGGGGAAUAUUGCACAAGUGGGGGAAACCCUGAUGCAGCAACGCCGCGUGAGUGAUGACGGCCGUUCGGGUUGUAAAGCUCUGUCUUCAGGGACGAUAAUGACGGUACCUGAGGAGGAAGCCACGGCUAACUACGUG